AUACGUGGUAAUUAGAGGCAAUUUUGAGACUUAACGGCACCAUCAUGACUAAAAUUCCCGAAUUGCCCGAAAGUUGGUUAUGUCGCCGUGGACGUGGUGGUGAGGGCUUCAACUAACUAAAUGUGUGAAAAAUUCAAAUAAAAAAAACAUCUCGUCGCCGUUUUAUUUCCACCGUGCUGCCAGAGCAGGGCUCCAUUUUUCACCUCAUCCAACAUAUUAUUAACACAAGUUGUGUUACGCAACAGCUCGUUCCCUCCGUCCCUUCAGGAGAGCCUUUGUCACCGUUUUACACGAAAUAUAACAAGAAGUGAGGAAGAAGUAAAAGGAGGUUGAAAAGCAGCAAAUAAGAACAAGAGGAGAACAAAGGUCAGGUGCAGGUGACAUUUGGUUUUUCUUUGUCGCUGUACAACUUUUCUGCGAAUAAAAUGACAAAAUUG